rnacentral:rRNA from 1 species
AUGUGGAUAGCUUUUGCACACCGUGGCAUUCAAAUCACCUACGCAUGCAAGAUGCUAACCUUUGCUAUCCAGAGGUUAGAAUAUCUGCACUUCACUUAUGUUUGGUGGGCAAAUAGUAACAGCCUCCACAGCUAUAUAUAUGCAUCCAAGGGCCACCUUGAUGAGCAAUUUCGUCAGGUGGAGGACUUGCAGGAUGAAGCUAGCCCUAAUUUUGUGGAAGAAGUUGUGGUGGUGUUCUUUAAAGAUUCUGGCAGGCUAAUAUCAAACCUUGAGCAAGCUCUGGAGAAGUACCCCAGAGAUUUCAACAGGUGGGAUGCAUACAUGCAGCAACUGAAAGGCAGCUGUUCCAGCAUCGGUGCUUCUAGGAUGAAGAAUGAAUGCAUGUCAUUCAGGGAUAAUUGUGGGCAACGAAAUGUUGAAGGUUGCAUGGGGUCUCUCCAGAAACUGAAGAGGGAGCAUGCCAUCCUGAGGCAGAAACUAGAAUCCUAUUUCCAGCUGCUGCGACAAGCUGGUCCUGCUGGAGCAGCCACUAGACCUGCCAUGUAA